rnacentral:rRNA from 1 species
UGGCGACCGGCGCGACGGGUGCGUAACGCGUAUACGAACCUCGCCCUAUACGACGGGGAUAGUCCUUGACGAAAGUAAGAUUAAUACCCGAUGCCAAGUUGAGAUCGCAUGAUUUUGAUUUGAAAGAAAUUCGGUGAUGGAUGGGGAUGCGUCUGAUUAGCUUGUUGGCGGGGUAACGGCCCACCAAGGCGACGAUCAGUAGGGGUUCUGAGAGGAAGGUCCCCCACAUUGGAACUGAGACACGGUCCAAACUCCUACGGGAGGCAGCAGUGAGGAAUAUUGGUCAAUGGGCGAGAGCCUGAACCAGCCAAGUAGCGUGCAGGAUGACGGCCCUAUGGGUUGUAAACUGCUUUUAUAAGGGAAUAAAGUGAGCCACGUGUGGUUUAUUGUAUGUACCUUACGAAUAAGGAUCGGCUAACUCCGUG